rnacentral:miRNA from 1 species
AUGUGUAUGGAUCUAUGUAUGGGUGGAUGUGCAUGUGAUGUAUACAAUAAGGAUAUGUGUGUGGUUGUGUGUCCACAUGU